rfam:Schistosoma mattheei strain Denwood, Zambia genome assembly, scaffold: SMTD_scaffold0016172
UCACUGCUGAAGAAUCUCACACUAGGACGAAACGGCCGUCCAGUAC